rnacentral:tRNA from 3 species
GGGCCUCUAGCUCAAUUGGCAGAGCAGCGGACUUUUAAUCCGCGGGUUGUCGGUUCGAGUCCGACGGGGCCCACCA